rnacentral:rRNA from 1 species
GACGAACGCUGGCGGCGUGCUUAACACAUGCAAGUCGAACGGAAAGGCCCUGCUUUUGUGGGGUGCUCGAGUGGCGAACGGGUGAGUAACACGUGAGUAACCUGCCCUUGACUUUGGGAUAACUUCAGGAAACUGGGGCUAAUACCGGAUAGGAGCUCCUGCUGCAUGGUGGGGGUUGGAAAGUUUCGGCGGUUGGGGAUGGACUCGCGGCUUAUCAGCUUGUUGGUGGGGUAGUGGCUUACCAAGGCUUUGACGGGUAGCCGGCCUGAGAGGGUGACCGGCCACUUGGGGAGGGAGUACCGCCCAAGACUCCGCGGGGGGCAAGAGGGGGGAAAUAUUCAACAGGGGGCGGAAGCUUGAUGCCGCACCCCCGGGUGGGGGAUGCGGGCUUUGGGUUUUAAACCCUCUUUCCCCUGGGACGAGGGGGGAGGGAGGUUAAGGUAAAAAGAACCACGGCCAAACCCGGCC